UUAUUGCUGUUUCAGGCAGGAAGGCUGCAGAGGCUCUGGCAGGGGAGCACUAGGUUUGAAGGCUCUCAGAGGAGAGCACGGCUUGUACGCGGCCCUGAUGCUUCCCUCAUGGUGGUAUUUCUCCCCCCCGCUGAUCCUGCCUCAGUUUCUGCAGGUCUGCUGGAGAGAAAUGUUUUCUGAGGACAGGCAGCAUAAAUCUUGAGCUACCUUUUAAUGCCAGCAGAGCCUACUUAAUAGGUUUAAGCUUCUUGCAGUUUCCUAGCACUGUUAAUGAGUUUCCAGGCCCCACAGAGGUGGAGCAGAACUGUAUUAUUUUCCUAAUCAAGUUAUCAGAUUAUUAGCAAAAAUACAAAUAAAAGAGCUGCUUUGGCUUUGAGUAAAAAAAAAAAAGUGCUGUCUGGAGAAGCACUCUGUUGUGGGCACCACGUGGCGGAUAAGGGAGGGCAUUAUUAUCAGGCAGGGCCAAAUAAUUGUCAGGGAAAGAAGAUAAAAUGCAGCUGCGAUGUGGCCUCCUCUGAUUUCUGGCCUGGGGCUCUCCCAUGGAAGAUUUUUCUUCUUAAUUGUAUGAAGCUGUAGAUGUUAGAAGCAUUUAUUGAGUCACUUCAUGAGUGUACCCUAUAGGUAGAAGAGCUCACAAAGAGUUAAUGGAUGAUUAAUUAGCUUAGAGGUAAAUAAUUAAUCAACUGGUCUAGAAUCCAACAGGUCAGAACUUGGCUUCUGAUCUGUAAAUACUCAUGUGCGCACAGCUGAAGAUGAUCUUGUGCAGAUAUUAUUUUUUACAAGCCUCCAGCCCUUUGCGAACCACUUCUUUGUGCACUUCUAAUAAGAAGAGUGAUCCAUCAUUCAUUGCUCAGAUAACUGCCAGAGGUUGUCAUGGCUGGUAGUGGCGCUUAGGUAGUAGCAUUUUGACCUGUAAAUCUAAAAUAACUCUGCAUGGGAAGGGAAGUACAGCUCCUGUCCCAUUUACAAGUGUGGCACUGAGGAACAGGGGAGAUAAAGACCUCCGUGGUGUCCCCGCUCUGGUGGCACUGCCUGGAGGCAGGCUGUGGAAAUGGGAGCAAGAUGUCUGCAGUGCUGAUGACUGCACAACUUGGUCAUCAGCCAGAGGAGAAGUCAUGCAGCACAGAGAGACAGUGCUUAGAGUGAGUAAUGGCACCAUGUGUGGAUUAUAUAUCUCACCGUGACCAAGUUGAAUCUGGAGCUCCCAAUCUGGAAGAUAAUUCUGUGCCUUCAGAGUACUGCAAGGGCUUUUAAUAGCUUAUGGUGCUACAGGAAAGCAGCCUGGUGGGAAAGCAAUUUGAAAAACGUAAGCAGAAUAUCACCCACCUCAUUUUCCUCUGAGUUUUAAGAAGAUCCUGCUUAGCAGUUCCACUUCUGCAGUGGUGGAGCCAUGUCAAAUGGAGCUGCUGUCAAGAUUUAGCUGUGGAAGGAUGUGUAAUUUUUGUUUUUAAUUGCAAAUAAAAUAAAGCAAUAUCUAAACCCUCA